rnacentral:rRNA from 1 species
AGCCAUGCAUGCCUUCGAAUAGGAGGAAGCAAUUCUCUCUGAAUCUGCGAACGGCUCCGCAAACCAGUUGUAAACUAUAGCAAGCAAGCCUGGGCUCAGCCUUCACGGGCAGGGACCGGGCGAUAUGGAUAACCCUGGUAAUUCUGAGGCUAAUACAAGAGCGUAACCCCUGGCUGACCGGCUUCGGCUGGGAGGCUGGGGGACGUGCGAUUGCGGCUUGGGUAUACCGGGAAAGGGCGCACGUUCAGACCGCGCUACAAAGGAUCGGGACCCCCUCGGGGGACCUGGCCCCAGCGGCUCUUGCUGUGUGCUUCUGACCUAUCAACUAGACGGCAGCGUAAGGGACAUGCUAUGGUGACAACGGGUACAGAGGAUUAGGGUUCGAUCCUGGAGAGUGGGCCUGAGAGAUUGCUCAUACUUCUAAGGAAGGCAGCAGGCGCGCAACGUUCCCCUUGGGCAAUGCCCGAGGGCGUUAGGGGACAUAUGAAUGCCUGCCCAUUGGGUGGGCAAUUCAAAUGGGUCUGUUCUAAACAGGCUCUCGAGUAACAUU